GGAGGAGUGACUGAGUGGUUUAAAGUGGUUGUUUGCUAAACAAUAAUAUUAUAAAACAUAAUAUCGGAGGUUCAAAUCCUUCUUCCUCUA
rnacentral:tRNA from 2 species